rnacentral:rRNA from 1 species
CAAACGACUCUCGGCAACGGAUAUCUCGGCUCACGCAUCGAUGAAGAACGUAGCAAAAUGCGAUACUUGGUGUGAAUUGCAGAAUCCCGUAAACCAUCGAGUUUUUGAACGCAAGUUGCGCCCGAAGCCAUCCGGCUGAGGGCACGUCUGCCUGGGCGUCACG